UAUGGUCGCCCUCGUGCUGGUGCCCGGGCGUUCGCUCGGGCGAACAGGGAACCUGGUGUGAAUCCAGGGCUGCCCCGCAGCGGUCAGCGAGAACGAACGCCGUGACGGCGCACUGGUCUCCACUCCUCUUUCGAGAGGAGGCGGGAUUGGGAAGCGACGGCCAGUAGGAAUCGUGUCCUCGGACGCGAAGCGCUCGUGAGCCCGAAGACCUGCCAGCGCCCGAGUGCGGGG
rnacentral:ncRNA from 1 species